GCAGUGAUGGUUCCGUGGUAGGAUUCUCGUCUUCCAUACUGGACACCUGGGUUCCAUUCCUGGUCAAUGCG
rnacentral:tRNA from 1 species